rnacentral:rRNA from 1 species
AUUGAACGCUGGCGGCAGGCCUAACACAUGCAAGUCGAGCGAGCGGCGGACGGGUGAGUAAUGUAUGGGAAACUGCCUGAUGGAGGGGGAUAACUACUGGAAACGGUAGCUAAUACCGCAUACCAUCAGAUGUACCCAGAUGGGAUUAGCUAGUAGGUGGGGUAAUGGCUCACCUAGGCGACGAUCCCUCGCUGGGCUGAGAGGAUGAGCAGCCGAACUGGAACAGAGCGACGGACCAGACGUCUUCGGGAGUCAUGAGUGGGGAAUAUUGCACAGUGGGCGAAAGCCUAAAGCAGCCAUGCCGCGUGUGUGAAGAAUGCCUUCGGGUUGUAAAGUACUUUCAGCGGGGAGGCGUUACCCACAGAAGAAGCACCGGCUAACUCCGUGCCAGAGGCCGCGGUAAUUC